GGGGAUAUAGUUCAGCUGGUAGAAUGUGUGCCUCACAUGCACAAGCCUGGGGUUCAAUACCCAGCACCA
rnacentral:tRNA from 1 species